AUGGUCAAUGCAGCUCAGGCACAGGACUCGUCAGAUGUCAUCAUGGGUAACCUUCCUGUUAACGAUAUUCCUGCAAGAGUUCUUUUUGACACUAGUGCAUCGCAUUGUUUCAUGUCGAGACCUUUUCCAUCUAAGCAUGAUUUUGUUACUCAAGUGUUGUCGAAACCGUUGGCUAUUGUCUCUCUGGCCCGUCAAAUGACAUCUCGAGUAUGUGUUCCGGAUGUUACAAUCACUUUGGGUGACUAUAAGUUCUUGUCUUCUCCAAAUGUUCUUCGUGACUCGGAUAUUGAUCUUAUUCUCGGAAUGGAUUGGCUUUCUAAGCAUAAGGCUCAGCUUGAUUGUGCAGCCAGGUAG
rnacentral:rRNA from 1 species